rnacentral:rRNA from 1 species
CCUACGGGAGGCAGCAGUGGGGGAUAUUGCACAAUGGGGGAAACCCUGAUGCAGCGACGCCGCGUGAGUGAAGAAGUAUCUCGGUAUGUUAAGCCCCAUCAGCAGGGAAGCAAAUGACAGUACCUGUCCACGAAGCCCCGGCUAACUACGUGCCAGCAGCCGCGGUAAUAAGGGGGGGGCAAGCGUUAUCCGGAUUUACUGGGGGUUAAGGGGGCGUAGUCGGGUAUGUAGGUUUGGAGUGAAAGCCCGGGGGCCAACCCCGGGACUGCUGUGGAAACUGUGUAUCUUGAGUGCAGGAGGGGCAGGCGGAAUGCGUGGUGUAGCGGUGAAAUGCAUAGAUAUCAGGAAGAACACCGGCGGCGAAGGCAGCCUGCUGGACUGAAACUGACGUUGAGGCACGAAAGCGUGGGGAGCGAACAGGAUUAGAUACCCUUGUAGUC